rfam:Brassica oleracea var. oleracea cultivar TO1000 chromosome C1, whole genome shotgun sequence
AAAGAUGAUGAAUAUGCACUGGGCUCUGAGUUGUUGAUUUGACAGUCAACUUCUUUUUGAUGGAUAAUGCAGCCUAGAAAGCUUAAUCUGAUUC